CGGGGUGUAGCGCAGAUGGGAGCGUGCGUGCUUCGGGAGCACGAGGUCGCAGGUUCGAUCCCUGUCACCCCGACCA
rnacentral:tRNA from 1 species